rnacentral:rRNA from 1 species
UACGUAGGGUGCAAGCGUUAAUCGGAAUUAUUGGGCGUAAAGCGCGCGCAGGCGGCCUCGCGCGCCGACGUGAAAGCCCCCGGCUUAACCGGGGAGGGUCGUGGGGACGGCGGGGCUUGAGGGCGGGAGAGGGUGGUGGAAUUCCCGGUGUAGCGGUGAAAUGCGUAGAGAUCGGGAGGAACACCAGAGGCGAAGGCGGCGACCUGGACAGGUACUGACACUCAACUACGAAAGCGUGGGGAGCAAACAGGG